rnacentral:tRNA from 1 species
GGGGUUGUGGCUCAGUGGUAGAGCGCUCACCUGGCAUGUGUGAGGCCCUGGAUUCAUCCUCA